UGAUGUGGUUCGGAAAGAUCGUCAAGGGAUUAAUGAAAACUAUAUCAAAGAGGCGAUGAGAAAUGUCUUCCAGUCGAUAUCUCUUCCUCUUCAGUCUCUUGGUCUACAUCUACACAAUGGGUUGAGGAGAACAAGGAAUUUGAUGGUAUGUAGUGUGUUGUAAAUGGUUCAAAAUAACUUAAACUUAUUGACAUUUAGUGUCUUUUUCGUCUUG
rnacentral:misc_RNA from 1 species